GUUUGAUCCUGGCUCAGAGCGAACGUUAGCGGCAGGCUUAACACAUGCAAGUCGAGCGAGAAAGGGGCUUCGGCUCCGAGUAAAGCGGCGGACGGGUGCGUAACACGUGGAUAAUCUGCCUCGUGGCGGGGGACAACAGUCCGAAAGGACUGCUAAUACCGCAUGUCAGGUCGGAAACUCCGGUUUCUGACGAAAAAGAGGGCGUCCGCAAGGAGCUCUCACCACGAGAUGAGUCCGCGUCCCAUCAGCUAGUUGGCGGUGUAAUGGACCACCAAGGCUUAGACGGGUAGCUGGUCUGAGAGGAUGACCAGCCACACUGGGACUGAGACACGGCCCAGACUCCUACGGGAGGCAGCAGUGGGGAAUAUUGGACAAUGGGCGAAAGCCUGAUCCAGCCAUGCCGCGUGAGUGAUGAAGG
rnacentral:rRNA from 1 species